rnacentral:lncRNA from 1 species
GCCAAAGACUCUGAGUUUCUGCAAACCCAAAUGUCAAAUGGAUAUUAGCAAGAAGUAACUCUUGGUACUCCCAGGCCAAUGAAAUCAGAGUGUUCAAAACAAAAGACAGCAGAGCUUCAGACCCUAGAGGAGAGGAAGACAGAAGACCCGGAAAGGGGUGGAAUCAGUGAUAGACACCAAGUCACUCAGAUCCAAAACCAAUAAGUCUUUUAUGGCUAAACCAAGGACAUGGGAGGUAUCUCCAGAGGUGCUGAGAAGAGCCACUCUUGAAGGCAGCUAAGGAAGCCCCCAGCGGAAGCAUGAUUCUGGUCUAACGCUUCAUCGUUUUGUGCUUCUAUGCUGGAACCAACUGUAUGCUGACUGAGUACUGAUGAUGAUGGCAAAAGGGUUGGCUGUUCCAUACCAUUAGCAACACUACUACUUGAUUCCCUGGGUGAACUCUUUGAAAUCUGAGCUCACCGCAGACGGAAAAACCUGGAGGGCGGCUCUCUGCCCAUGGCUGGGACAAUGUGGCUGGAGAAGUCUGGCUGGGUCCACCAGAUGGCAAGGAAGCCAUCGGCCUGUAGGAGCCAGAGCGGCCACGGAGAGCAGGGGCAAGAGCAGGAACGCACAGGGUCCAUUCCAGAGCGGCAGUGGAAAACAGACCAAAGAGCGCUUCAGGUGCGCAGAGGGAGGCGGAUAGCUGUGGCGACAGGCUCGGGGCCUGGGACACAGGUAGAGGUCACGGAAGGUCAUACACACGGGGGGGGGGCGCUAUGAGGACGCCGAGCUGCAUGCAAACACGCCCUUACUAGGGGACAGAGCCCCUCCCUUCUGUACCGUCCCUCGUGCACCCUCUCCUGGCAAAGCAGAAUCUAACAUCGUAACUACUAAAGUGCUCGAACAGUCCAGUCCGUUGUCACGGAGCCGAUUUUGAAGGAUGAUUUUGGAGUUCAGAGACAUUGAAUUUGUAACGGGCACAGGUAGUCAACUGUGCUGGC